rnacentral:rRNA from 1 species
CCUGGAAUUGGCGAAGUCUGACGGAGCACGCCGCGUGAGUGAUGAAGGUUUUCGGAUCGUAAAGCUCUGUUGUUAGGGAAGAACAAGUGCCGUUCAAAUAGGGCGGCACCUUGACGGUACCUAACCAGAAAGCCACGGCUAACUACGUGCCAGCAGCCGCGGUAAUACGUAGGUGGCAAGCGUUGUCCGGAAUUAUUGGGCGUAAAGGGCUCGCAGGCGGUUUCUUAAGUCUGAUGUGAAAGCCCCCGGCUCAACCGGGGAGGGUCAUUGGAAACUGGGGAACUUGAGUGCAGAAGAGGAGAGUGGAAUUCCACGUGUAGCGGUGAAAUGCGUAGAGAUGUGGAGGAACACCAGUGGCGAAGGCGACUCUCUGGUCUGUAACUGACGCUGAGGAGCGAAAGCGUGGGGAGCGAACAGGAUUAGAUACCCUGGUAGUCCACGCCGUAAACGAUGAGUGCUAAGUGUUAGGGGGUUUCCGCCCCUUAGUGCUGCAGCUAACGCAUUAAGCACUCCGCC